rnacentral:lncRNA from 7 species
GCUCCCGGCCCGACCCCUCCCGCCGCAGCGGGGCUGCUGUCCUCGGCUCCGUCCCCGCUAGAGCCGCCCGGUACGCGGCAAUAAAAGAGGUGACAAUGACAAACGGAGCCGAUCUGUUCCUCGUUCGUUCGUUCUCCCAGAUGACAGCUAUCUCGGCUGUUCAGGGCUUCUGUCAUCCAAGGAGCAGCAGGUCGCCCUGAGGCCAUCGGGGACUGAUUCCAUCCAUGGGGAUGAGGCCAUGCAGUGUGAGAAAGUGCUGUUGUGUAAUGAUGAAGAAUGGAAGCUCCUGCUGGAAGCCGAGCAAGAUUGCACUUGCGCUGCUUAUCUGGCUGCUUGAUCCAUGAGAACGUGUCUCGGAGCAUCUGGAAACGUGUGGAUAGCUUCCAUCCCCUCCCAGAGACUUGCGGGUCCUGGCUGCGCGCAGGAGGAGGACGGGAGAUUUGGAGCCGUGGCCGCUCUGCAUGGCAACAUGCCUGUGAGGUUUGCUGUGCUUGGAUAGAGCAGAACUGUGCAAAAACAGAACAAGAUGGGAUUUUUCCAGGUUUAAUUUGAGCUUUAACUUGUUCCAAGUGUAACAUUGAGAUCUUACCGCUUCUUUUGUUUUCCAUGCUCCGCUGCGCUCUGUGGCAGCAGCAGUCACAAGUGUCAGACCAUCAACUAAGCCUGGUUUUGAGUUGAGUGUGAAGGAAACUACACUGACAACGAAAACACUUGCGGGGUAUUGCCAUGCCAAGGCUGUGUGCAGGUUUGGCACCCCUCCUCCCUUUGCACACCCCACAGUGAUGUUGGAGCUCAGUGGGUGAAGGUGGGAGCGGGGCCACUCGUGGCAGCCAUGGUGCAUGGGUCCGGUGGGAUUUGCGUCUCUAUUUCUCUGUUGCUGUUCUGAGUGGAGCUUGUGUGAGUAAACCUAUUGUGGUUUUAAG